GACCCUGGAGAAAGACAGCUUGUAUACAACAGGGAAAGUCUGCAUGAGUUGCUGCAGUGCUCAUUGAUGAGACCGGGAAGAUGGUUGCAGCCCAGUGAGGAGGGAGAUGAACUUCUGACCCAAGAAUCUAGGGCUAUGACUGAAACACCAGAUGUGAAGAGGAUCAUAAAUUUCUGUUCUGUUUGGAUCUAGAUCAACAGGAGGACUGAUGGAGCCCGUCUGCCCUCAGCCUGUGCAAUUGGAUGGCUCUGCAGGACUGCAGUUCCCACAUACCCCAGUAACUCUCUACUCUGUGCCCACUGCCAGGGAGCUGCACACAUCCAUCAUAUUGUAAAGUACUCUUUUCAGUUGGCUGCUAGAGGGUCCUUCACAUUUAUGCUUUAUUUAUUUAAAAAAGGUCUAAAAUGUGAGAAGGGAAAAGUAGAAACAUAACAAAGAAACUCA